UACGUAGGGUGCGAGCGUUGAUCGGAAUUACUGGGCGUAAAGUGUGCGCAGGCGGCCGAGCAAGUCGAGUGUGAAAGCCCCGAGCUUAACUUGGGAACUGCGCUCGAAACUACUUGGCUAGAGUGUGGCAGAGGGAGGUGGAAUUCCACGUGUAGCGGUGAAAUGCGUAGAGAUGUGGAGGAACACCGAUGGCGAAGGCAGCCUCCUGGGCCAACACUGACGCUCAUGCACGAAAGCGUGGGGAGCAAACAGG
rnacentral:rRNA from 1 species